rnacentral:lncRNA from 1 species
CCAGGAAGUCGGACGUCUUGAGGUGGCCGAACUUCUCGUCCCGCGGCACGUAGAUCUGCUCCAGCAGCGACAGCCGGCUCUCCAGGCUCGGGUCGCUGGCGUUGGGCUUGCGCUCCGUGCGGCCGCGGCGCGGGUAAGGGUGGUCGGAGUUGCCGCCGAGGAUGGGGCGGCCCUCGCCGAGGUCGUUGUAGACGUCGUAGCGGUAGAUGCGGUCGUGCUCCUGGUACGGGCCCUGCUGGUCGUCGCCACGCAGGUUCCGGAGCUCGUCGUCGCGGUACGGCUUCAGCGCCGCCGGCAUCUGGCUCGGCAGGUACGUCUGCGAGUGUGGAGCCGUGCAACAUUACUAUUAAAAAGUUAUGUUUUACUCCCUCCGUUGCAAAAUAUACGAUCUUUUAAAGAUUUUAUUAUAGACUACAUAAUGAAUGCAUAGAGAGAUCCACUGAUUUUGUUUCGUAUGUUGUCCAUAGUGAAAUCUUACAAAUGUCUUAUAUUUAGGAAUGAAGAAAGGUUUAGAUGUAAGAUAAAUAUUGCAUAUCUAAAUACUAUAUCAUUGAUCUUACGUCGAGAUAUGUGAGUAUUUUUUUCCUUUUCUUUUUAUGCUUAAUUUAAUCGUUUUGGUAUGCAAUAAUUAUGUGACAUGCAUCUAGAUGUGGCUAGACACAUCCUUAAAAAGUUUAUUCAUGAAAACAAUCAUGUGGGUGGAUCCGUGCAACAGUUAUUUUCACCUACCACGCUGCCACGGUGCCACGGUGCAACUUUCAUUCAAUCUUGUGUCGAUCUGCACCAAACCAUAUCCUUUUCUACCAACACGGAAUAAAUAAUGUACGUACUGCUAAGUGGUAACCACUCCUAGCUCAUCAUCUAUUGUCCUGGCAAGACUUAAUGAUCGACCAUGAAUGACGAAGGCGGUGAAAAUGAAAGGAGAGGAAAGUAGAGGAAAAUCCACGCACGUCGUUGGCGAAGAAGACGCGGCUGUAUCGGUAGUUGGCGGCGGGGUAGAUCCAUGAGUUGGCGACGAAGGUGAGGUUGCCGCUGCGGCCGGGGACGUCGUGGAGGGUGAUGGUUUUAAGCAGGAACUCGGAGCUGUGGUAGUUGUUGACGACGAUGGCGCCCGGCACCCCGAGCUUCUCCACCUCCCAGUCGAAGGUGAGGC